rnacentral:rRNA from 1 species
GAUAACGUUCCGAAAGGGACGCUAAUACCGCAUGAUGUUCCGGGUUUGAAGACCUGGAACCAAGCCGGGACGCAGCUGCGCUCAGGAGGAGCCGCGUCUGAUUAGCUAGUUGGCGGGGUAAGUGGCCCACCAAGGCGACGAUCAGUAGCCGGCCUGAGAGGGCGGACGGCCACACUGGGACUGAGACACGGCCCAGACUCCUACGGGAGGCAGCAGUGGGGAAUUGUUCGCAAUGGGCGCAAGCCUGACGACGCAACGCCGCGUGGAGGAUGAAGGUCUUCGGAUUGUAAACUCCUGUUGAUCGGGACGAAAAGCUUCGACCUAACACGUCGAGGACUGACGGUACCAGUUGAGGAAGCCACGGCUAACUCUGUG